GUACUGUUCCCCAUGUUCCAGGAGCUUGCACCACAAGACCCACAUGACAAGUGUGGUCACCACUACGCGUUUUGCCUUGACCUGAAGAACCAACGAUUUGAGGUGCUAGAUUCAAUGCGUUCAGAAGCUGAUGCAGACCUUACUACGCAUGCUGAAUUCAUCAUCAACAGCCUCAAAGAGACAUGGAACCGUCACUACGAAAACUCAAGGGUCCAGAUCGGUCAUUUCCCAAUCGAGUAUGUCGCGACUACGAAGCAAGGAAACCGGCAUGACUAUGGCUUUCACACAUUGGAAUACCUUGCAAAGUGGGAAGGUCGACGGGUCCCUGUCGUCACAGCUGCAAUGGUCGUCGAGCUCCGCAAGAUAUACACAUGGAACUGGUUGAUGAAUGAAGAUUUCAACACGCGGGCCAACGCACGAGAGUUCAUAGAGGAAGCUGUCAAG
rnacentral:rRNA from 1 species